GAUGAACGCUGGCGGCGUGCCUAAUACAUGCAAGUCGAGCGAACGGACGAGAAGCUUGCUUCUCUGAUGUUAGCGGCGGACGGGUGAGUAACACGUGGAUAACCUACCUAUAAGACUGGGAUAACUUCGGGAAACCGGAGCUAAUACCGGAUGAUAUUUUGAACCGCAUGGUUCAAAAGUGAAAGACGGUCUUGCUGUCACUUAUAGAUGGAUCCGCGCUGCAUUAGCUAGUUGGUAAGGUAACGGCUUACCAAGGCAACGAUGCGUAGCUGACCUGAGAGGGUGAUCAGCCACACUGGAACUGAGACACGGUCCAGACUCCUACGGGAGGCAGCAGUAGGGAAUCUUCCGCAAUGGGCGAAAGCCUGAUGGAGCAACGCCGCGUGAGUGAUGAAGGUCUUCGGAUCGUAAAACUCUGUUAUUAGGGAAGAACAGAUGUGUAAGUAAAUGUGGACGUCUUGACGGUACCUAAACAGAAAGCACCGGCUAACUACGUG
rnacentral:rRNA from 1 species